rnacentral:rRNA from 1 species
UGGGGAAUAUUGGACAAUGGGCGCAAGCCUGAUCCAGCCAUGCCGCGUGUGUGAAGAAGGCCUUCGGGUUGUAAAGCACUUUUGUCNGGGAGGAAGGGGCUUNGGUUAAUACCUGGGGGUNUUGACGUUACCGGCAGAAUAAGCACCGGCUAACUNCGUGCCAGCAGCCGCGGUAAUACGUAGGGUGCAAGCGUUAAUCGGAAUUACUGGGCGUAAAGCGCGCGCAGGCGGUUNGNUAAGUCAGAUGUGAAAUCCCCGGGCUCAACCUGGGAACUGCAUUNGAAACUGCCNGGCUAGAGUAUGGUAGAGGGGGGUGGAAUUCCCNGUGUAGCAGUGAAAUGCGUAGAUAUGNGGAGGAACACCGAUGGCGAAGGCAGCCCCCUGGACCGAUACUGACGCUCAUGCGCGAAAGCGUGGGGAGCAAA